rnacentral:lncRNA from 13 species
CCAGCCACCCUCCUUGCAUUAGAGGCACUGUGGAUCCAGCCCACUCCAGUCUUUGCAGAGGAAAGGGGAAGAAUGGAAACGAGAGGUGGGCUCGUCGGCCAUCACCAUCCCCUGGGCACCAUGGGUGAGGGGGUCCCUCUCGGAGUGACAUGGCAGCAGCAGCAGAGGGCAGGGGCCAGACCUGACGGUGCCCCUGCCUUGGGGCUCCUGGCUGGAGUGCUGAAUGACUAGUGCCGGCCCAGGAGGCUGGGUCAAAGGUCCUUCUUGGAGCAGGAAAGCUUAGAACCAGGGUUGAAGUCAGUAGGAAAGAAAAGAGCAGGUGGGGAGUGGGAGGCAGUGGCCGUCCUGGGCUUGUGGGUGCUAUCUCAGGCCUGUGUAAUGUGGCUACCGAGGGUGGGCUGACCUCGCUCACCUGGUCUCUCUCCUCAGAGCAGCUAGCCGUCCACAACGUCACCCUUCAAGCAGGAGGUGUUUGUCUACAGCCUGUCCUUGAGCAGCGAGAGCCCCAGCCUGGGAGCAGCCGCCACCCUGAUCAUCAUGAGCAGGAGUCCCACAGAUGCCAAAAGCAGAAACUCCCCAAGAUCGAACCUGAAAUUCUGCUUUGACAAGCUCAGCCAUGCCAGCUCUGGUGCGGGUCACUAAUGUGAAGCAGGAGUCCUUUGCCUGUCCAAGGGAAGCCCUGUUCUGCCUGGAGAAGGCUCCUGUUCCAGCAGUUUGGGAGUGUCGAACACGACCCCGACAGCCCCAGGCCCGCCACCCCACCAGCCACCUGCCCACAGACCAGCCGUCAGUCUGGGUGUACCAGGUGGUCACAGCCCUGCCCGUGCCGCCACCGACAUGCCCUCCAAGUACCUCCUGUCUCUGGACGAGGCCUCCUUCCUCAGGUUCCUCCUUCCUGACCUCCCAGUGUGAUGUCCAGGUCCUUUGUCAUCUUGUUCAGCCUGGAGAGGAAAAGAGUUGGGCAGGGAGGAGCGGGGGCGUGGGGGAAGCUCGGCAGUGA